UACGUAGGGCGCAAGCGUUGUCCGGAAUUAUUGGGCGUAAAGAGCUCGUAGGCGGCUUGUCACGCGAUUGUGAAAGCCCGAGGCUUAACCUCGGGUCUGCAGUCGAUACGGGCUAGCUAGAGUGUGGUAGGGGAGAUCGGAAUUCCUGGUGUAGCGGUGAAAUGCGCAGAUAUCAGGAGGAACACCGGUGGCGAAGGCGGAUCUCUGGGCCAUUACUGACGCUGAGGAGCGAAAGCGUGGGGAGC
rnacentral:rRNA from 1 species